UAAUACGUAGGGGGCGAGCGUUGUCCGGAUUUAUUGGGCGUAAAGAGCUCGUAGGCGGCUCAGCAAGUCGGCCGUGAAAGCCUGAGGCUCAACCUCAGGAUGCCGGUCGAAACUGCUGUGGCUAGGAUUCGGUAGAGGAGAGUGGAAUUCCCGGUGUAGCGGUGAAAUGCGCAGAUAUCGGGAGGAACACCAGUAGCGAAGGCGGCUCUCUGGGCCGACACCGACGCUGAGGAGCGAAAGCUAGGGGAGCAAACAGGAUUAGAUACCCUGGUAGUCCUAGCCGUAAACGUUGGGAACUAGGUGUGGCGGAUUCAUUGACAUCUGCCGUGCCGAAGCUAACGCAUUAAGUUCCCCGCCUGGGGAGUACGGUCGCAAGGC
rnacentral:rRNA from 1 species